AACGAACGCUGGCGGCAUGCCUAACACAUGCAAGUCGAACGAGACCUUCGGGGCUAGUGGCGCACGGGUGCGUAACGCGUGGGAACCUGCCCUUAGGUUCGGAAUAACUCCCCGAAAGGGGUGCUAAUACCGGAUAAUGUCUUCGGACCAAAGAUUUAUCGCCUUUGGAUGGGCCCGCGUUGGGUUAGUUAGUUGGUAGGGUAAAAGCCUACCAAGGCGACGAUCCAUAGCUGGUCUGAGAGGAUGAUCAGCCACACUGGGACUGCGACACGGCCCAGAAUCCUACGGGAGGCAGCAGUGGGGAAUAUUGGACACUGGGCGAAAGCCUGAUCCAGCCAUGCCGCGUGAGUGAUGAAGGCCUUAGGGUUGUACAGCUCUUUUAGCCGGGAUGAUAAUGACAGUACCGGGAGAAUAAGCUCCGGCUAACUCCGUG
rnacentral:rRNA from 1 species